UACGGGGGGGGCAAGCGUUGUUCGGAAUUACUGGGCGUAAAGGGCUCGUAGGCGGCCAACUAAGUCAGACGUGAAAUCCCUCGGCUUAACCGGGGAACUGCGUCUGAUACUGGAUGGCUUGAAUCCGGGAGAGGGAUGCGGAAUUCCAGGUGUAGCGGUGAAAUGCGUAGAUAUUGGGAGGAACACCAGUGGCGAAGGCGGCUCACUGGACUGGUACUGACGCUGAUGCGCGAAAGCGUGGGGAGCAAACAGG
rnacentral:rRNA from 1 species